GCUGAUGUAGCUCAGUUGGGAGAGCAUUAGACUGAAAAUCUAAAGGUCUCUGGUUCCAUCCCAGGUUUCUGCA
rfam:Danio rerio chromosome 4, GRCz11 reference primary assembly.